UACGAAGGGGGCUAGCGUUGUUCGGAAUUACUGGGCGUAAAGGGCGCGUAGGCGGUGUGUCAAGUCAGGCGUGAAAGCCCCGGGCUCAACCUGGGAACCGCGCUUGAGACUGGCACGCUAGAGUUCGGGAGAGGAUGGUGGAAUUCCCAGUGUAGAGGUGAAAUGCGUAGAUAUCAAGAGGAACACCUGAGGUGAAGACGGGUUGCUGGGCCGACACUGACGCUGAGUGCGCGAAAGCCAGGGGAGCAAACGGG
rnacentral:rRNA from 1 species